CCUACGGGAGGCUGCAGUGGGGAAUAUUGCACAAUGGGGGAAACCCUGAUGCAGCGACGCCGCGUGAGCGAUGAAGUAUUUCGGUAUGUAAAGCUCUAUCAGCAGGGAAGAAACUGACGGUACCUGACUAAGAAGCACCGGCUAAAUACGUGCCAGCAGCCGCGGUAAUACGUAUGGUGCAAGCGUUAUCCGGAUUUACUGGGUGUAAAGGGAGCGUAGACGGACUUGCAAGUCUGAAGUGAAAGCCCGGGGCUCAACCCCGGGACUGCUUUGGAAACUGUAGGUCUAGAGUGCUGGAGAGGUAAGUGGAAUUCCUAGUGUAGCGGUGAAAUGCGUAGAUAUUAGGAGGAACACCAGUGGCGAAGGCGGCUUACUGGACAGUAACUGACGUUGAGGCUCGAAAGCGUGGGGAGCAAACAGGAUUAGAUACCCCGGUAGUC
rnacentral:rRNA from 1 species